GUAACAGAUCUUGAACAUUUGUACUCCACGUACGAACAGGACAUUUCUGUGACAUUUCGCGAGAUUGUUUUGGUUUUGUCUAGAGAGGCAAGCAGAUGUAUCACAACUGCACUGGAGGGGCAACAGUGAAAUUGUGUGUACAAAAAAUAAAACACAACAAAUCGUUGUUUCAAAAAGCACGCGUGUUUUUGAUGGUGGGACUGAACGAUGUGCUGAAGGGCACCCGAUCUGACU